UACGUAGGGUGCAAGCGUUGUCCGGAAUUAUUGGGCGUAAAGAGCUCGUAGGCGGUUUGUUGCGUCGGGUGUGAAAUCCCGAGGCUCAACCUCGGGUCUGCAGUCGAUACGAGCAAACUAGAGUGUUGCAGGGGAGACUGGAAUUCCUGGUGUAGCGGUGAAAUGCGCAGAUAUCAGGAGGAACACCGGUGGCGAAGGCGGGUCUCUGGGCAACAACUGACGCUGAGGAGCGAAAGCGUGGGGAGCGAACAGG
rnacentral:rRNA from 1 species